CCUACGGGGGGCAGCAGUGAGGAAUAUUGGUCAAUGGACGAGAGUCUGAACCAGCCAAGUAGCGUGAAGGAUGACUGCCCUAUGGGUUGUAAACUUCUUUUAUAUGGGAAUAAAAUGUUCCACGUGUGGGAUUUUGUAUGUACCAUAUGAAUAAGGAUCGGCUAACUCCGUGCCAGCAGCCGCGGUAAUACGGAGGAUCCGAGCGUUAUCCGGAUUUAUUGGGUUUAAAGGGAGCGUAGGUGGAUUGUUAAGUCAGUUGUGAAAGUCUGCGGCUCAACCGUAAAAUUGCAGUUGAAACUGGCAGUCUUGAGUACAGUAGAGGUGGGCGGAAUUCGUGGUGUAGCGGUGAAAUGCUUAGAUAUCACGAAGAACUCCGAUUGCGAAGGCAGUUCACUGGACUGCAACUGACACUGAGGCUCGAAAGUGUGGGUAUCAAACAGGAUUAGAUACCCGGGUAGUC
rnacentral:rRNA from 1 species